rnacentral:lncRNA from 1 species
CUCCAUCUUGUGCUGAAAACAAAAACUGUCCCAGGAUGGGUACCAGUGUACCACCACUCUGGUUGUAUAACCUGCAUACCCCUUGGCUAUCUGCUUUUGUCUUUCUCCUCUAUAAUCCUAAACUGUUGCCCAUAGGGGGAGACAGAUUUCUAGACCGGCUAUCUUCCCAGUUUGGGCCAAAUUACAAAUAAAUUCAUUUCAUGCUUCACCAUUAUUUUUCUGUUUGUUAAUUAGACACUGUGCUAUGGGCAACUUAAUCUAGUCUGUUGGGAUCCCCCAAAUUAACUCUCUGGCUCGAGUGGUCCUGACCCCACCAUAACAAAAGGACAGACUCUUUAUCACCUGGUGAUAGAUAAUUAUAAGCCAAUUACUUGAUUUCCUCCUGUUCUUUUCAAAUUCAAAAAUUCUUCAAAAUGCUUUUCUUUAUUGUUCUCCACCUAUAAGUAAACCUUACUUAUAGGUAAGUAAUGAUAGAAUGACAAAAUGGAUAGAUAUCUCAGUGAUUUAGUUGGAGGGAGUAGAACCAUUUCCAAGUCUUACGUAAUCAGUAUGUUUGUUCUCUAUGUACUACAGAAGAGAUAUUGCGCCAAGUGCAAUCUGCUAACCCCAAAGUAAUCAUAGCUAGCCUAACAAUCAUAGGGCAUUAGUUUAUCAUUUUCUUCUCCUUUCCUUACAUUUUCUGGUUCUAGGGCUUCUCAGAAUAUUUUUAUAUUUAUAUUUUAGUUUCUUCAUGAAUAAACCAUUUUUCAUAAUCUCUAAGAUAGGCUAAUGUGAUAUUGUUUUUUUGUGUUUGAUCCUCCCUGUUACUUUAUCUCAAUUUAUUCAAGGCCAUAUUUAACUUUUCUAUUAGGGAGAACUUUUGCCUUCCUCUUCAGUAGGUUCCAUUAGUAGAGUUUCAAAGCUUUGGGGCUGCUUCCAGUGUAAGCAAAUCUGAUUCAUACUUUGAAAAAGAGGGAAAUUGGCUUUUUCUCUGUCUAAAAAGGAAAUCUUUAAAAAAGUUAUGUUUUAGCACAUUACAGUCUUAUAUGUUUACAUUAUGUUUUACCAGAAGAAUUGCCUCUGAUGAAUUAUGAGUGGAAAGAACUUUCCUUUUCAUUAAAAAACUUGAAAAAAAUAAAACAUAAUCAGAAUUUUGAAAGGUAUCUUUCAAACAUACAACUUGUUAGCUCUGUAAUUUUGGAAAAGGUAAAGCCAAGUUGUUUUUGACCAAGAUUGUCUUAUUGCGCUAUUGUCUUGGGCAGAUAUUACAAGUGCAGUUUGGUAGCCUUUGCAUACUGAGGGGGAGGACCUUGCUGAUUUCUCCUUUCUUUUUUGUUGGUUCAGUUUUAGUGCUGGGGAUUGAACCUAGGGCCUGGUGCAUGCCAUGCGCACACAUGCUCUACAAUUGAACUAUACCCCCAACCUGUCCCUUUUGAAAUUUCCCCUGUUACCUCUUGGUCAUUUACAUUUUUAACUCCAAAAAAUAGUUUUAUUGCAUGUAUUCUUUCUCAUUUUGCUCAUAGGUAAGCCUAACCUUCAGAAUGUAGGCUAAG